rnacentral:rRNA from 1 species
CGGCGGACGGGUGAGUAACACGUGGAUAACCUACCUAUAAGACUGGGGUAACUUCGGGAAACCGGAGCUAAUACCGGAUAAUAUAUUGAACAGCAUGGUUCAAUAGUGAAAGACGGUUUUGCUGUCACUUAUAGAUGGAUCCGCGCCGCAUUAGCUAGUUGGUAAGGUAACGGCUUACCAAGGCAACGAUGCGUAGCCGACCUGAGAGGGUGAUCGGCCACACUGGAACUGAGACACGGUCCAGACUCCUACGGGAGGCAGCAGAA